rnacentral:tRNA from 1 species
GGUAGCAUGGCCGAGCGGUCUAAGGCGCUGGUUUAAGGCACCAGUCAUUUCGAUGGCGUGGGUUCGAAUUCCCCACUGCUGCCA